GUCAAGAAGGAAGGCUUAACCCCCA
rnacentral:piRNA from 1 species